rnacentral:tRNA from 1 species
GGGCCUGUAGCUCAGCGGUAGAGCACUGCCCUUGCACUGAGACUUUUAAAAAAAGUUUCAUCAAAUCAGGAAAGGCAGGGGCCUCGGGUUCGAAAAUGGUAAAGGCAUAGCAACCUUUAUGAUCGAAGAGUCCCGACAGGUCCA